rnacentral:rRNA from 1 species
UACGUAGGGGGCAAGCGUUGUCCGGAAUCAUUGGGCGUAAAGCGCGUGUAGGCGGCCCGGUAAGUCCGCUGUGAAAGUCGGGGGCUCAACCCUCGAAUGCCGGUGGAUGCUGUCGGGCUAGAGUGCGGGAGAGGCGAGUGGAAUUCCUGGUGUAGCGGUGAAAUGCGCAGAUAUCAGGAGGAACACCAAUUGCGAAGGCAGCUCGCUGGAACGUAACUGACGCUGAGACGCGAAAGCGUGGGGAGCAAACAGG